rnacentral:tRNA from 1 species
GCAUCCAUGGUCUAGCUGGUCAUGACGACCGCCUAACACGCGGUAGGUCCCCAGUUCGAGUCUGGGUGGAUGUA